GAUGAACGCUGGCGGCGUGCCUAAUACAUGCAAGUCGAGCGAACAGAUGAGGAGCUUGCUCCUCUGACGUUAGCGGCGGACGGGUGAGUAACACGUGGAUAACCUACCUAUAAGACUGGGAUAACUUCGGGAAACCGGAGCUAAUACCGGAUAAUAUAUUGAACCGCAUGGUUCAAUAGUGAAAGACGGUUUUGCUGUCACUUAUAGAUGGAUCCGCGCCGCAUUAGCUAGUUGGUAAGGUAACGGCUUACCAAGGCAACGAUGCGUAGCCGACCUGAGAGGGUGAUCGGCCACACGGGAACUGAGACACGGUCAAGACGCCUACGGGAGGCAGCAGUAGGGAAUCUGACGCAAUGGGCGAAAGCCUGACGGAGCAACGCCGCGUGAGUGAUGAAGGUCUUCGGAUCGUAAAACUCUGUUAUUAGGGAAGAACAAAUGUGUAAGUAACUAUGCACGUCUUGACGGUACCUAAUCAGAAAGCCACGGCUAACUACGUG
rnacentral:rRNA from 1 species